GGAGCACCCCAGAGGCUGGUCUAAUCUUGGUUCGUUGGCUCAAGGUUGCACCAGACAACAGACGGGGAGAGUGUUUUCUUUCAGUUCUUCAGCUUCAAAUAUGAGGCCUUCAGGAGAAUGGAAGGGAUCCCUUCAGUAGAAAGGAUUCAUGGUAGAGAAAUGCAGAAUUGCACAACCAUCACAAAUAUCUAAUUCCAGAGGACUUUGACUGCCCGGAAAGAAGCCCCGUACCCAGAACCCGUCAUUCCCAAC
rnacentral:lncRNA from 1 species